UUCAGUUGAAGAGUUGUUCAGACUCAAUUAUCGGUGGACUUUUUUAAUGGCUAGCUCAGAAUAUGAGCUUUCCAAAAGUUGUUUAUAUAUUAAAUAAGUUCAGUCCUUUCGGGAGCCCAGCAUUUAUUUAAAUGUGAUACACAAUAUUGAAUAACACCACAAACCAGAUAACAAUCUUGAGAAAUGUACAACUUUAUUGAGCUAUAUAUUUUUGAAUACAGAGAAUUAACAUCUUACAACAUUUAUAUAUUCAAGAUACUUUUCCAUACUUAAAUCGUAACAAGUACAGUGCAGUGAAAAAGUAUUAGCCCCUUUUAUGAUUUCUUUACAUUUUUGCAUAUUUUUGAUAUUGAAUGUUAUCAGAUUUUCAACCAAAACCUGUGUACACAAAUAACAAUUUGAUACUUAUUUAAUAAAGUUAUGAAACACUCAAUGCCUCUGUGUAAAAAAAGUAAUUGCCACCGUACACACUCAACAACUGGUUGUGCCACCUUUAGCUGCAAUGAUUGUAACAAAACGCUUCAUGCAGUUGUCAUCAGUCUCUCACAUCGCUGUGGAGCAAUUUUGGCCCACUCUUCCAUGCAGAACUGCUUUAACUCAGCAACAUUUGUGGGUUUUCAAGCAUGAACUGCUCGUUCCAAGUCCUGCCACAACAACUCAAUCAGGAUUAGGUCUGGACUUUGACUCGGCCGUUCCAAAACAUAAAAUGUGUUGCUUUUCAACCAUGUUCAUGUAGACUUGAUUGUGUGUUAUGGAUCAUUGUCUUGCUGCAUGAUCCAGUUGCGCUUCAGCUUACGGAUGGAUGGCCUGACAUUCUCCUGUAGAAUUCUAGAAUUCUCUGAUACAGAGCAUCAUUCCUCUAAUGAUGACAAGUCAUCCAGGUCCUGAGGCAGCAAAGCAUCCCCAAACCAUCACACUACCACCACCACCACCACCACCACGCUUGACCGUUGGUAAGAGGUUCUUACUGUGGAAUGCAGUGUUUGGUUUUCGCCAGACAUAAUGGGACCCAUGUCCUCCAAAAAAGUUGACUCAAGUUUGCCAAAUAAGUACCUGGAGGAUCAUCAAGAUGCUCUACGGACAGAUGACUCAAAAGUAGAACUUUUUGGACGACAUGGGUCCCGUUAUGUCUGCCGAAAACCAAACACUGCAUUCCACAGUAAGAACCUCAUACCAGUGGUCAAGCAUGAUGGUGGUAGUGUGAUGGUUUGGGGAUACUUUGCUGCCUCAGGACCUGGAUGACUUUCCAUCAUUGAAGGAACCAUAAAUUCUGCUCUGUAUCAGGAGAAUGUCAGGCCAGCCUUCCGUGAAUUGAAGCUGAAGCACAGCUGGGUUAUGCAGCAAGACAAUGAUCCAAAAUACACAAAACAAGUCUAGAUCUGAAUAGUUGAAAAGCAACAAAUUUGAAGUUUUAGAAUGUUCUAGUCAAAGUUCAGACCUGAUCCUGAUUGAAAUGUUGUGGCAGGACCUGAAAUGAGCAGUUCAUAUUUGAAAAUCAACAAAUGCCAGAGUUAGAGCAGUUCUCAACGGAGGAGGGGGACAACAUUCCUCCACGGCGAUGUGAGAGACUGAUCAACAACUAUAUGAAGCGUUUGGUUGCAGUCAAUGUAGCUAAAGGAGGCACACCCAGUUAUUGAGUGUAAGAGGGCAAUUACUUUUUUACACAGGGCAUUGGGUGUUGCAUAACUUUGUUUAUUAAAUAAACAAUAUAUGUAAUUGUUGCGUUAUUUCUUCACUCAAGUUUUGGUUGAAGUUCUGGUAACAUUCAAUGUCAAAAAUAGAGAAAAUCAGAAAGGGGCAUAGACUUUCACAGCACUGUAUGUGGACUCAAUAAAGCAAUUUAUAGUUUGCAGUUACUUGGAAGGAAAUGGCUGACUUAAAGACACACAGAGCAAUUUGACAGCUUCUGAGCAAAGUUCGGAAGAAUCAUAUCAUGCAAUAUUGCAGAUAACUUUGGUAUUGGACUGAGGCAAAAGCUGAUGGCAACCAAAAGCAAAGCUCUUUUACAAUACACAUUGAGGCGUGCAUUUAUAGCUGUGUUGUACACAUUUGUUUGUUGAUUAACAGUAUAUCAACCGAUAGAGGACUAUGAAAUAUCUUAAUAAAUCCAGUCAAAAGGUAAUAACAUUUUAAAUGUACAGAUGCGGACAAUAUAGCAUAGCGUUAUAUCACCAAAAUAUGUUUUAUAAAAGGAGAAUUACACAACCAAUGCUGUAAUCAUCUGUUCAAAAUUGUGGUUUGUAAAUGUUUUGCCUUUAAAAUGAAUUCUUCUUUAAUGGGGAAUAUACUAACAGCUCAUAUAACCAAGUUCCUCAGGUUGUGUUAAAUGAAUCAAAAUAAUCUCUCUAGAGUAUUAUGGUCUUAAUCCUCCCAAUUCACUGGGGUGAGCUAGAAUCGUGAUGUGCUGAAGAACAUUAUACGGCCAUUUAAUUGAAGUGAAACUUUGGCUAAAUCAAACCCCAGGAGGACAAUCACAUUCAUAAAAUACUAUUCCGAAAGGCAUUAUUUGUAGAUAAGUGUUUGCAGUACAGUUACAUUAAAAGAUUCAGACACUCAAAAGAGUGGAUAAAUACAGGAGCAAACAUUACAUUGGCCAGUGACUGUCAUGAUGUAGUUGUGAAAAAAUAAAGCAUUUGCGUGAAUGAUUUUGCUUCCAUAAAGCAAAUGUGCCAAGCUCUGUUUUUUGCUGUGUCUAGUCCAUCUGACAAGUCCUGGAAGAUUGUGUAUCACUACCCAGAAGGGAGCGCUCAACUCUCAGCCAGAUAUCUGUGGUAUUUCAGUGUGUCACCGAUAUGAUAACCACAGGUUCAUGAUGGUGUGGUAUUUCAGUGUGUCACCGAUAUAAUAACCACAGGUUCAUGAUGGCGUGGUAUUUCAGUGUGUCACCGAUAUAAUAACCACAGGUUCAUGAUGGCGUGGUAUUUCAGUGUGUCACCGAUAUAAUAACCACAGGUUCAUGAUGGCAGGUAUUUCAGUGUGUCACCGAUAUAAUAACCACAGGUUCAUGAUGGUGUGAUAUUUCAGUGUGUCACCGAUAUAAUAACCACAGGUUCAUGAUGGUGUGAUAUUUCAGUGUGUCACCGAUAUAAUAACCACAGGUUCAUGAUGGCGUGGUAUUUCAGUGUGUCACCGAUAUAAUAACCACAGGUUCAUGAUGGUGUGAUAUUUCAGUGUGUCACCGAUAUAAUAACCACAGGUACAUGAUGGCAUGGUAUUUCACUUGACAAUUUACACUGUAGUCCUUUCCAAACCGCUGCUCAGAUGGGAAAAAUAAUAACUAUUGCCCCAAUCCAAAGAGCUUUGAAUAUCCAAAUCCAGUUUUUACACACAGUGGACGGAGCCAAUCAAACAAAACAUAUUGAGCAUUUACAUAUUCAUACAAUAUACACACAGAUCUAAAACAUAUUCAGAUGUGCAGCCAUGAAGAACGUGUCAGAGAAAAAUGCCAGUCUAAUGUGUUGGUUGCUCCAUAGGCUACAUUCCAUUUAUAUCUGCAACUUCCUGUAGUGUUAUACCUACUGAAUAUGGACCUGUUUUCCCAACCAACUAUAGGAAAAACAUAUCACAAUGCUGUGUACUGUAGCCUCCGCAUAACAUGCCAUUCCUAAAUGCUAUCAGAGCACCAACUUGUUUGGCAGGCUUCUGCAUCAGACAUUUGCCAAAUGUAUUGCUUGUGUUUGUUUAGAUUCCUUUUCAAAUGGUAUGUUUUACAGUACAGUACCUACAUAUGUACACACACACACACACACACCAGUUUACAGUACAUGUUCAUACCUUUUCAACCUCAUCAACACAUCACAUGCCCAUUAGAUAUGCUGGGCUGUAUGGUAAAGCUGCUUCAAAACCAAGUCUCAUUGCAUUGUCCAAUCUGUAAUCCAACUCUCCUUGACAACUGAAGAACAUCGUCUUAACCUCGGCACAUACACUACACCUUAGAAUUGAACUUGUUUUGCUUUAUAAAGAAAUGUCAAACAGUUUUAUCAAUACUGAAAAUUACAAGAAGUUUCUUGUUUCUUGGCUCAAUAAAAAAAACAAAGCGCUUUGUCAACAGUGAUAUCAAAAUCUCACUAUUUGAAUCCAAUUGUAAAAGUGACAAUGGGCAAUAAAACAGUCUCCAGUAUUUUUUUUGGUUCUACUUAAAGUUGUGACUUCAUUGUUUUUGUGUUAGAUAUAAAGUAUUCAAUCCACUGGUAAAUUUGGACAGGGAUCACGUACUGUACAACUUGUUAUUGCGUAGUACAACAGUUAUUGCGAAAUAUAAAAUGGGACAAGUGGCGACUUCACGACCAACCUAUUAGCCCUUCCAUGGCAACAUAUCCAUGCUUCUUCUGACAACGUAUAUGGAAGAGCCCCUUUCACCAUCAGAGAAAACAAAUGAUAAACAUAAAAUCCAAAUAUCUACACUGAUUAUGUAUUCUAUGAUCAAAUAAACCUUUUCUCAUUAAAAGAAUAAGAACACAAUAACAAUAUAAUCAAUGAUCAUCGUAAGAAAACUAUAUUCUUAUCUUCAAAAUGACAUAAUGAGAAGAGUAUCCUCAUCUCAUUGCACAGUCCUCUGCUCGGUUCCGUAAAAUAAUCUAAGGUUAUUUACAACAUACCAUAUUCUUUUUCCACAAUAUAACAUUGCCGUGCUUCACGACACAUAUCCUCUGCUCUGACUCUCUCACUCUGGCUCUCUCAUACACACACACACACACAGACAGCACACGCUCACUCAUUCACACUUACUAAGUUCACAACAUCUCGCUGCUAGGAUCACACCCCAACCCACCAAACUAACCCAAUGGUUGAGAUGGUGAGAAUUCAUAACCAACUGCAUUUCUCUCCAAGUUACCGCCUCAAUCCAAAAAUGUAUACUUUGGUUAUUUGAGGUUUGAAACACAUCAUCUAUCCCCAUUCAAAACGACGAGCCAGACAUUUCAGAUGACAGUUUUAUGCAUGUUCACUUUGGUUUUCACAGAUUCCACAUACUGAAGUGCUUUAGAACAGUGGUUCCCAACCAGGGGAACUUGGCCUAUCCACAGGGGGUACUUGAGAAGACUCAUGAGACCAUAGGCCUACUGGUAAAAUGUACAUGGGUAAAAGGUUGGGAACCACUGCUUUAGAACAACAGCCGUGGUUAAUAGGUGGGCUAACUACAUCAGCAGGCGGUGUAAAAGUAGUGACACUGUGUCUGGUGCACUCUCUCACUCUCCUCAGAAUGAUGACCACACAUCACCCUGUACAUAGUGGGGAAAUUUGCAGACCGUCUCUUUCACUCCAAACAGGUAGAUGUGUAAACACAAUUACAUUAUACCCAACAAUACUGUACCCUGUGCCCUAAAGAGUCAUUAAACCUAUCAGGGUUGUGAUGUUUCACUGUGGAAGCUCAAUUUGUAUUGGAUGCAUGUCUAUAUAAUCAAUAAAGAGAACGCCAUCUCCAGGUUUUUGGUACAACGGUUCCCCAAAUUCCAGAAUUCCUGCAAGAAUGAGGAGAAUUCCUGUAAGUGCUAUGGAUUCCUCAGAGAACUGCAAAACGUUGUGUGAAAAUAGAACAGAAGUGCUGUUCUUUCAAACCAUUGUACCAUAUCAGCCAAGCACAGCAUUAUGAAAAUAAAUAAAUAAAUACAACAUGAGGAUUUCCCCCAAAUGCCACCAUGACACUGUUGGGAUUAAUCUACCUGGUACUAAACUAAUAUCCCCCUUCAAUGAUUACGGAGAUGGGAGGGAUAGACUGUAAUACCUUGGAUUGAUGGAAAUGGGAGGGAUAGACUGUAAUACCUUGCUGUGGUAGAAAUGGGAGGGAUAGACUGUAAUACCUUGGAUUGAUGGAAAUGGGAGGGAUAGACUGUAAUACCUUGGAGUGGUGGAAAUGGGAGGGAUAGACUGUAAUACCUUG
ensembl:lncRNA